UGGGGUGCAGCGUCAUGAUUUGAAUAACUUUUAAUGGCCAUGGGGUGUAGAUUGGCCUGAGCAAAUGUGGUGCCGGUGGAACGAAAGCCUUCGGAGGAGUUAGCGAAAUUCCAAUGUGUGCGGAUCGGCAAAAAAUGCGAAAUAACCCUUUAACCGUACAUUUGACAGAUACGCCCGCACUGACUUUUUUGUAGAUCUUAUUGAGAUACAUAUGUGUGUCAAUUUUUGUGUCAAUAUGACAAAGCGUACAGGCGUGACAGUCAAUAGUGUGAAUUUCCACCUUAGGGGGCGCUAUGGAGCCAUUUUGCAUUUUAUUGUUUGGGCGACUUCAGAAUAUCGAAUUUUUCACCAGGUCCGGUCGUCCUGCCAAAUUUCAUGAGUUUUCGCCAGUGGGAAGUGGGCCAUUUUCCAGUUCAAAGGGGAGGAAAAAGAAGAAACUAGGGCCCCGUUGGGGCACUGGCGGGCCCGAGCCGUGUCACGCCGCCCCCAGCGCGACCGCCUCCCCCACCCGAUCGCGUCACACUCAAGGUCCAAAGAUGGUGUGCGCACUUGUUUGUGGUCAUUUACCAUUAUAAUGAACGGGAGGCGCAGUUUCUACCAAAGCGCUCGCUGCAGAAAAACUCCAUGUCCUAUUUGAAAAAAGUCUGGACCAUGAGUGAGGGCACAAACACAGCUAAGAUAUAUCCAAAUGGCAAGUUGCUCCUCCUUUCGCUUUUGCCGAGAGAGCAGUGCGUUUGAGCCAUUGAAUGAUGAACAGGAAAAACUUGACUUUAUUCUCCUGCCAUGGGGGGGCGCUCUUUUAACGAGAAAAAACUCCUUCACAAAUGUGUUGAUGGCUGGACAUUGCAUCAUCCUAGAAAACAUGGAGGCCAGUGAGGACAAAAAUAAAAAGUUAUAAGACUUUUAAAUAUGUGGAUUUUAGGGUUAUCUUUGGCGCCCCCUAGAACCUAAACCGUGGGGUGCAGCGUCAUGAUUUGAAUAACUUUUAAUGGCCAUGGGGUGUAGAUUGGCCUGAGCAAAUGUGGUGCCGGUGGAACAAAAGCCUUCGGAGGAGUUAGCGAAAUUCCAAUGUGUGCGAAUCUGCAAAAAAUGCAAAAUAACCCUUUAACCGUACAUUUUACAGAUACGUGGCCAUUGACUUUUUCGAAGAUCUUAUUAAAAUACACGUGUAUGUAAAAUUUUGUGUCAAUACGACAAAACAUACAGGCGUAGCACUCAACAAUGUGUAUUUUCACCUUAGUGGACAAGAAAAAAUUGACUUUUUUCUCCUGCCAUGGGGGGGCGCUCUUUUGGGGAGUAAAAAUUCCUUCACAAAUGUGUUGAUGGCUGGACAUUGCAUCAUCCUAG